UACAUUAGAUACCCGCGUAGUCCCAGCCGUAAACUAUGCGCGUUAGGUGUAUCGGUGACCACGAGUCACCGAGGUGCCGAAGGGAAACCGUGAAACGUGCCGCCUGGGAAGUACGGUCGCAAGGCUGAAACUUAAAGGAAUUGGCGGGGAGCACCACAACGGGUGGAGCCUGCGGUUUAAUUGGACUCAACGCCGGGAAGCUCACCGGAUAAGACAGCGGAAUGAUUGCCGGGCUGAAGACUCUGCAUGACUAGCUG
rnacentral:rRNA from 1 species